UACGGGGGGGGCAAGCGUUGUUCGGAAUUACUGGGCGUAAAGGGCGCGUAGGCGGUCAGGUCAGUCCCGUGUGAAAUCCCUCGGCUCAACUGAGGAGCUGCACGGGAAACUACCUGGCUUGAGUUCGGGAGAGGGAAGCGGAAUUCCGGGUGUAGCGGUGAAAUGCGUAGAUAUCCGGAGGAACACCGGUGGCGAAGGCGGCUUCCUGGACCGACACUGACGCUGAGGCGCGAAAGCUAGGGGAGCAAACGGG
rnacentral:rRNA from 1 species